UGAUGCAAUUUUCACAUUGUCGUCGUCGUGCUCGAAGUAGACUACAUCGCCAUAGGUUGCGCCGCCACUGCUAGACCUAUCCUGCUGAAUCGGCCGGCGAUGGAGCCUCCCGGCCUCCAGCCGCUGACUAACUCCCGCUUCGGGGAGAUACCUCUACCCAACCAUCAUCGCGGCGGCGGCCACCGCCGCUCCAACUCGGAGACCUUCGUCCGCCUCCCUGGUGAUCUUCUACUCGACUCCGAUCCGGACUUCGAGAUCCCUGACAUCGACUUCUCCUCGUUCUCGGACGACACCGUGUCCGGGGACAGCGGGGCUCCCUUGGUCACUAGGCCGGACCCGCCGGUUGCGACAGAGGCGUGCCUUCCUGGGGUACACUUCAGGAGUCUGUCGUUCGACACAGCCUUCUUUGAGGGGAUGUCAUUUCAGGAACCACCGUCUGGUGGCAGCGGUGCUGCUGCAGGAUUGACGCAGAUGGGGCACCACCGCCGGCGCGGGUCCAUGGAUGGCGCGACUUCGCCGUUCGAGGGGGAGUCAGCGCCGCCAUUCUCGGAUUUCGCGAAGAAGGCCGUCCUUUCGGAUAAGCUUUCCGAGCUAGCUCGGAUUGAUCCCAAGAGAGCAAAAAGGAUUCUUUCUAAUAGACAAUCUGCUGCUCGUUCAAAGGAGAGGAAGGUUCGCUAUACAAGUGAACUCGAGCAGAAGAUUCAAACACUUCAGACGGAGGCAACCUCUAUUUCUGCACAGCUUACAGUUUUGCAGAGAAACAGUACUGGUUUGUUUGCUGAGAACAGAGAACUCAAGCUGAGAUUGCAGGCUAUGGAGCAACAUUCGAAACUUCGAGAGGCUCUCAACGAAGCAUUACGAGAAGAAAUCCAGCGGCUGAAGCAACAGAUCGGAGAAGUUCCGAGUGCAAAUGGAAAUCGUUUUAGACGCGCAAGUCAGCGGCAUGAAGAGUUGCCUCUUUGAAGUACUCAUCUUGUUCAGCAUACCCAUGCGUCUCCGUCUCAAAUUUCUUCAAGUGAUCAACAACUGAGCGAGCAAAGUUUGAUGGAUCUGAUGGACUUGAUUUGAGAACUGCGGCAUGGACGACAAGGGGAAUCCUUCCAAACUGGUGAAUGCAACCUCAGCAGCCACCUCGCCUUCUCCUUCACCGCGCUGCCGCAGUCGGCCUGCAGCACCAAGCAGAGCUUCUCCACCGCCCCCACGCUCACCAUCUCCUCC